AGUGAACGCUGGCGGUAGGCCUAACACAUGCAAGUCGAACGGCAGCACAGUAAGAGCUUGCUCUUACGGGUUGCGAGUGGCGGACGGGUGAGGAAUACAUCGGAAUCUACUUUUUCGUGGGGGAUAACGUAGGGAAACUUACGCUAAUACCUCAUACGACCUACGGGUGAAAGCAGGGGAUCUUCGGACCUUGCGCGAUUGAAUGAGCCGAUGUCGGAUUAGCUAGUUGGCGGGGUAAAGGCCCACCAAGGCGACGAUCCGUAGCUGGUCUGAGAGGCUGAUCAGCCACACUGGAACUGAGACACGGUCCAGACUCCUACGGGAGGCAGCAGUGGGGAAUAUUGGACAAUGGGCGCAAGCCUGAUCCAGCCAUACCGCGUGGGUGAAGAAGGCCUUCGGGUUGUAAAGCCCUUUUGUUGGGAAAGAAAAGCAGCAGGUUAAUACCCCGCUGUUCUGACGGUACCCAAAGAAUAAGCACCGGCUAACUUCGUG
rnacentral:rRNA from 1 species